AAUCAACGCUGGCGGCAUGCCUAACACAUGCAAGUCGAACGAGACCUUCGGGUCUAGUGGCGCACGGGUGCGUAACGCGUGGGAAUCUGCCCUUCGGUUGGGAAUAACUGAGAGAAAUUUCAGCUAAUACCUUAUAAUGUCUUCGGACCAAAGAUUUAUCGCCGAGGGAUGAGCCCGCGUAGGAUUAGGUAGUGGGUGGGGUAAUGGCCUACCAAGCCGACGAUCCUUAGCUGGUCUGAGAGGAUGAUCAGCCACACUGGGACUGAGACACGGCCCAGACUCCGACGGGAGGCAGCAGUGGGGAAUAUUGGACAAUGGGCGAAAGCCUGAUCCAGCAAUGCCGCGUGAGUGAUGAAGGCCUUAGGGUUGUAAAGCUCUUUUACCCGGGAUGAUAAUGACAGUACCGGGAGAAUAAGCUCCGGCUAACUCCGUGCCAGCCGCCGCCGUAAAAC
rnacentral:rRNA from 1 species